CCUACGGGAGGCUGCAGUGGGGAAUAUUGGACAAUGGGGGGAACCCUGAUCCAGCCAUGCCGCGUGUGUGAAGAAGGCCCUCGGGUUGUAAAGCACUUUCAGUGAGGAAGAACGCCUGGUGGUUAAUACCCAUCAGGAAAGACAUCACUCACAGAAGAAGCACCGGCUAACUCCGUGCCAGCAGCCGCGGUAAUACGGAGGGUGCGAGCGUUAAUCGGAAUUACUGGGCGUAAAGCGCGCGUAGGUGGCUUGAUAAGCCGGUUGUGAAAGCCCCGGGCUCAACCUGGGAACGGCAUCCGGAACUGUCAAGCUAGAGUGCAGGAGAGGAAGGUGGAAUUCCCGGUGUAGCGGUGAAAUGCGUAGAGAUCAGGAGGAAUACCAGUGGCGAAGGCGGCCUUCUGGACUGACACUGACACUGAGGUGCGAAAGCGUGGGUAGCAAACAGGAUUAGAUACCCCAGUAGUC
rnacentral:rRNA from 1 species